rnacentral:rRNA from 1 species
GCUCCCUUAGGUCAGCGGCGGACGGGUGAGUAACACGUGGGUAACCUGCCUGUAAGACUGGGAUAACUCCGGGAAACCGGGGCUAAUACCGGAUGCUUGAUUGAACCGCAUGGUUCAAUCAUAAAAGGUGGCUUUUAGCUACCACUUACAGAUGGACCCGCGGCGCAUUAGCUAGUUGGUGAGGUAACGGCUCACCAAGGCGACGAUGCGUAGCCGACCUGAGAGGGUGAUCGGCCACACUGGGACUGAGACACGGCCCAGACUCCUACGGGAGGCAGCAGUAGGGAAUCUUCCGCAAUGGACGAAAGUCUGACGGAGCAACGCCGCGUGAGUGAUGAAGGUUUUCGGAUCGUAAAACUCUGUUGUUAGGGAAGAACAAGUACCGUUCGAAUAGGGCGGUACCUUGACGGUACCUAACCA